UAAGGUAUGAAUAUAAGGUGCCCAUCC
rnacentral:misc_RNA from 1 species